UUGGAAAGUGCUUUUCUCUUUACCUUAUUAAAAAUGUUGAUGAUCAGAGAAAGGGGCUUUUCUUGUUGCUGACGACAUGUGUGUGACAUGUGAGUCGGAACCACCCAGCGUCAGUGCAGGAGCUGUAAACAUGUUUACCUGAACAGGAAAGAAAAUGGAUUUUUCUCUUAGAGAUCCAGUGAUAUGAAUAUCAUACUCUUGGAGCAUAUCAACAGAUGACUUGAGACAAAUUUUCUGAAAGCUUAGCUUUUGAAAUCAACGGAGGAAAGAGAUUCUUGAUUGCUGCAGCAAAUGGCAACUUGUGCAGUUACAGGAUUACCUAAUCUGCCCUGCAGAAGUGUGUUUGGUUUAUUAAGUCUUUUGGAAGAUGUGCUAAUACAGAUUCGAUGGAAAUUGGCCAGAAACAUGGCUGACUGAGACAGAGGGAAUCCAGAUGUUGGAGGAGGAUAUAAAAUAUAAAGUUGUGCCUCUGCUUGAUCCAGCUCACUACAAAUCUGUGCGCAGAAGCAGUAGCAGGAAAAAUAACUAGGAUUCCUGUCAAAGCUUUGACAGCUAUACUUACCUGCUAUAAGAAUCUGUUGUUUUAAAAAAAAACCAACAAACCCAAACAACCACACCUCUCAAUUGUCUACAGUCAACUGUAUCUGUAAACAUUAGUGGCUGCUCUUCCAGUUACAGCUUUCAAGAAGAUUUUUCUGUUUUAUGGCAUGCAAGCUCUAAAAGGUGCUCUCCGACCCCCAACAAGGUGCACUACUUUCAUUUAUGCUGAAUGGAGAAUCUUCCUGGAUUGCAUCUGCUCAGGAAAUGAAGACAGCUUCUGGUAAACGUGGGCUUCUAAACUAACUGGCAAGUCAGCAUAAAAACAAUUUGAUAUAUAGAAUAUGGAUAAAUUACUAAAACAUGCAAAAUCUGUCCUAAAGUGCUUAAUUAUAAAGAAACCUCUUGACUGAUAUUUGUUUUAGUCUGUCUCGCUCGUUGGAGUCUGGUUCAAUAUCUCACUGUGGACACAAACCAAGUGGACUCUGGAAAUCUAUGCUUUAGCAACAAAAUGUACAAAUUACAACUUGUAAUAAAGAAAAUGGGCAUACUGUUUGAGUAA